AGGACGAACGCUGGCGGCGUGCUUAACACAUGCAAGUCGAGCGGAAAGGCCCUUCGGGGUACUCGAGCGGCGAACGGGUGAGUAACACGUGAGCAACCUGCCCUUAGCUUCGGGAUAGCUCCGGGAAACCGGAAUUAAUACCGAAUAUGACUUUGGCUGACAUCAGCAGAAGUGGAAAGUUUUUCGGCUAGGGAUGGACUCGCGGCCUAUCAGCUAGUUGGUGAGGUAACGGCCCACCAAGGCGACGACGGGUAGCCGGCCUGAGAGGGCGACCGGCCACACUGGGACUGAGACACGGCCCAGACUCCUACGGGAGGCAGCAGUGGGGAAUAUUGCGCAAUGGGCGAAAGCCUGACGCAGCGACGCCGCGUGGGGGAUGAAUGCCUUCGGGUUGUAAACCCCUUUCAGCAGGGACGAAGCGAAAGUGACGGUACCUGCAGAAGAAGCGCCGGCUAACUACGUGCCAGCAGCCGC
rnacentral:rRNA from 1 species